rnacentral:rRNA from 1 species
UACGAAGGGGGCGAGCGUUGUUCGGAAUUACUGGGCGUAAAGGGCGCGCAGGCGGCUCUGAAAGUCAGAUGUGAAAGCCCCGGGCUUAACCUGGGAAUUGCAUUUGAUACUCUGGAGCUUGAGUACGGGAGAGGAGAGUGGAAUUCCCAGUGUAGAGGUGAAAUUCGUAGAUAUUGGGAAGAACACCGGUGGCGAAGGCGGCGUCCUGGACCAACACUGACACUGAUGAGCGAAAGCCAGGGGAGCAAACGGG